rnacentral:rRNA from 1 species
GACGAACGCUGGCGGCGUGCUUAACACAUGCAAGUCGAACGGAAAGGCCCUGCUUUUGCGGGGUGCUCGAGUGGCGCACGGGUGAGUAACACGUGAGUAACCUGCCCUUGACUUUGGGAUAACUUCAGGAAACUGGGGCUAAUACCGGAUAGGAGCUCCUGCUGCAUGGUGGGGGUUGGAAAGUUUCGGCGGUUGGGGAUGGACUCGCGGCUUAUCAGCUGGUUGGGGAGGUAGUGGCUUACCAAGGCUUUGAAGGGUAGCCGGCCUGAGAGGGUGACCGGCCACAUUGGGACUGAGGUACGGACCAGAAUCCUACGGGAGGCAGUAGUGGGGAAUAUUGCACAAUGGGCGGAAGCCUGAUGCAGCAACGCCGCGUGCGGGAUGACGGCCUUCGGGUUGUAAACCGCUUUCGCCUGUGACGAAGCGUGAGUGACGGUAAUGGGUAAAGAAGCACCGGCUAACUACGUG